AUCAUAUUUAACAGUAUCCUUUAGUCCGGGCUGUGUCCCUCUGUGGUUUGUAGGGGAUCGCCCUUUGAGCGGGUAGCUUUGCCGUGUUUUUUUUUCCGCCCCCGGCACGGGCUGUGAAGAGGGCGCAACCACAGCGGGCUCGCCGGAGGCGGCGACCGUUUAAACACGGCUCCCGGCAAGAGGCAGACAUCUGCGUGCAGAGACGGCCGCGGUGCACGCUUGCAUCCCGGGACCACUUCACCUGCUCCACAUAGGGAUGCACGAUGACUCCGUGAACGGUAGAAGGCAGACAGAAGGCAAGAUCCCUGGCAUUUCACUCUGAUUCUUGGAAGUCCUAAGGAAUUACGAUUCUUCACAGCACAAAAAUAUCAAUAAAGAAAACAUCAAAGAUCCUAGAGGUCAAUACAAAAUGUUACACCUGGA